AUGGGCCCGGCCUGGUGGGGAUGCAGAUGUCUGCUGCAGGGGAAUUGCUUGACGGGGCCUGCCGAGCAGGUAGGCCGGGGGAAUGUUUGCAGGCAGGGGCCGAAGGUCCACCGGAGACAGAACAACGGGGGCACCGGACGCACUUGGGCCUCGCGGAGCCACCAUUCGACAAGCCGCGGUGUCAACGAGCUGUGCAGAAGGAGGAGAGCCGCGAGUUCAAAUGAAGCAACAAAAUGAUAAGAGCGAAGUGGACAGCCUUGGAAUUUCAAAGUCAAGACAAGGUGACAAGAAACAGCGCAACCAUUAGUUUGGUCCUCGCGCCAACCUGCUUCGCCGCGGAUUUCCUCAGCCUCCCACUUGGUAAGGCUUUGCCUAUGAAAAGGAAACUCAUUUUCUCUUCAGUUAAAGAUUAAUAUGAAGUCAGCCUGAUGAAAUAUGGGCUCUCUCUCUCUCUCUCUGUGUGUGUGUGUGUGUGUGUGUGUGUGUGUGUGUGUGUGUGGGGCCGUGUGUCUCAUCUCUCACAAGUGUGUUUUUAUUAUUAUUGAAAUUACAUGAGAAAUUAGUCAUGGUGUGUAGCUCAGUCAUCAUUCAACAAUUAAAAAAUGUCCAUUGAGACACAGUUUUGUGAAUUAUGUUUAUUCAUGUAGCUGAUCCUUUUCUCCAAAGGAACUUAUAAUAUGAAGGUUACAAUUAUUUACCGAUUUUUUUUACAGGUGGCUAGUUUUACUGGAGCAAUUUAGGGUGAGUACCUUGUUUAAGGGUGCUACAUCCAGAAGCAGGGAUCAAACCUGAGACCUUUAGAUCUGAAAGUGACAGCUCUAACCAUGACGCUUCCUACUGUCUCUUAGAGGUAGCACAUACCCUGAAUACCCUUAGAGGUAACAUUUUGUAUAAUCCCC
rnacentral:lncRNA from 1 species